rnacentral:rRNA from 1 species
UCAGACGAUGCGUCAUGCAUAUCAAUAAGCGGAGGAAAAGAAACUAACAAGGAUUCCCUCAGUAACGGCGAGUGAAGCGGGAAGAGCUCAAAUUUGAAAUCUUGAAAGGUCACCUUUCACGAAUUGUAGUUUAAAGAAGUGUUUUCUGUUACGAUCGUAAUAUAAGUUCUUUGGAAUAGGACACCACAGAGGGUGAGAAUCCCGUCUAUGAUUGCGAUUUGUCAGCUUUGUGAUACACUUUCAAAGAGUCGGGUUGUUUGGGAAUGCAGCCCAAAACGGGAGGUAAAUUUCUUCUAAGGCUAAGUAUUGGCGAGAGACCGAUAGCGAACAAGUACCGUGAGGGAAAGAUGAAAAGAACUUUGAAAAGAGAGUUAAAUAGUACGUGAAAUUGUCAAAAGGGAAGCGUUUAACACCAGUGUUGUUUUCUGAAAAUCAACCUCUGUUAGCUUUAUGCAUGUUUGUUUAGACCUAAUCAGCUAUCUUGCAUGUUCUAUUGUUUGCAGUGGUGCACUUUUCAGUUUACAGGUCAACAUCAGUUUUUUUUACCGUAAAAAAGUUAAAGAAAGGUAGCUCAUGGCUCCGGUCGUGAGUAGUUAUAGUCUUUUUCCUAUGCGGUAGGAGAGACUGAGGUCUGCAGUGUAGGCUAUUUGGCUAGAUACUCAGGUGCUAUGUGAUACCAUUUCAUAAACAACUUGUUGAUUAUGUUUUGUCUAUUGCAUACUCGCUUGUACUAUCAUACCUACGCUUAGGAUGUUGAAGACUCUACAGAGAUA